rnacentral:misc_RNA from 1 species
CAUCACGGUUCAGCUCUGGAACCCUCAUCAUUUCCCCG